CGAGGCUUAUAAGGCGCUUCGUGACAGGGCACCUUACCCUGCUAAUCAUGUUGUUGGCCACCUCAGUGGGAGCUUUGCUUUCAUCGUAUUUGACAAGUCCACCUCCACCUUAUUCGUUGCUUCUGUAAGUACUAGUGCCUAGUUAACAGUACUGUUGACGAUCUUGAUUUUGUUUUAAUUAAUAUUUCAUUUGGGAUGUAUAUAGGAUCAAUUCGGGAAGGUGCCACUGUACUGGGGAAUCACAGCUGACGGGUACGUGGCGUUUGCUGAUGAUGCCGAGCUGCUGAAAGGUGCCUGUGGCAAGUCCCUCGCUUCUUUCCCUCAAGGAUGCUUUUUCUCGACUGCGGUUGGUGAGCUGAGGAGCUUCGAGAAUCCAAAGAACAAGAUCACUGCUGUUC
rnacentral:lncRNA from 1 species